CACCGCCCGUCACACUAUGGGAGUUUACUGCACCAGAAGCAGGUAGCCUAACCGCAAGGAUGGCGCCUACCACGGUGUGGUACAAUGACUGGGGUG
rnacentral:rRNA from 1 species